UACGUAGGGGGCAAGCGUUGUCCGGAAUCAUUGGGCGUAAAGAGCGUGUAGGCGGUCCGGUAAGUCGGCUGUGAAAGUCCAGGGCUCAACCCUCGGAUGCCGGUGGAUACUGUCGGGCUUGAGUACGGAAGAGGCGAGUGGAAUUCCUGGUGUAGCGGUGAAAUGCGCAGAUAUCAGGAGGAACACCAAUUGCGAAGGCAGCUCGCUGGGACGUUACUGACGCUGAGACGCGAAAGCGUGGGGAGCAAACAGG
rnacentral:rRNA from 1 species